GUGGGAGUAAACUAAGAAAGUUAUUAGGUUCAUACCCUGACUAUAGAUUAAAAUUCUCUCCCAUU
rnacentral:tRNA from 2 species